CCUCCUUCCUCCUCCCCCUCCUCCUCCUCCUGUUCUUCCUUGGGUGGUCCUUCACACUCCAGAUUCAGUCUGACUGAACAGCUCAAAGUGAACACAUCAUCAUCAUCAACAAACAGAACAAACAUUAAGUGAGCAGGUGUUGGUUGCCGUGACGAUGGUCAGCGCUGUCCUGAGGACGAUUGGAAAUCUUUCUGUCUCGACUCUGACUCGUCCAAAAGAAAUUCUGAAAGAGACAAAGAAAAUGAUCUACAGCAAACCUCCACGAAACAAGAUUGGAGCCGCACAAAGUUUCUUCAUCAUGUCUGUGUUUGCGGUGGCCUUGUUGACUCCAGCUGCCUGGAUACUUCAUCACCUGCCAGAGUACCGCCAAAGGUCACGACCGGGUCCGAAGACCUGAACAUCAUCUUCACCAUCAUCUUCCUCACUUUCCUCUUCCUCACCAAAACAAACAGCUGGAGGAGGUUCACUCAUUAAUAUAUUAUAAACAAUCAAUGUAUUGGAUAAAGAUUUCACAAGUAAAAUCAAUAAAUAAUUAUAUGUUCUAAUGCUUAUUUUGUUAUUAUGGCAUAAAUAUUUGUUAGAACAUAAAUGUUUAAUAUGGCUUUCUAAAGAUUUAUUAUGAGACCUGGUUAAAAACGUGGUUAAAAACAUUCAAGUUCUGAAGUUUGUGCAAACAGGAAGUGUCUGUAUGUUUAAAGAUAAAGCCUCAGUUUGUGUGUUUGUGGUUGAGCAGGAAACAUCUCUGUUUAGUUUGUUCUGCUGGAUUUACACAGUUAAUCACUUCCUGUCUGAGAAAAUCAGUUCCCACAGGGACGACACGAUUAAACCUGAACGAGUUGAA